UUCAGUAAUCCUAAACUCUACCUUCUCCUCACUCAACGUCAGUCUUUACUGAAGCUCUCGAGCUCUCUCAUCUCUCUCGCUGUGGCUCAUUGCUCUCGCACCCAAACUCUCUCCUUCUCUCGUCUCCAGUCUUUCUCAUUGUCUCCGGACUAGCACUCAAGCUCGUCGUCGCUCUCGGCUCCGGUCUCUCUCACGGUCUCUGGUCUCCCACUCAAUCUCGCUCGCUCGCCUUAGCAGAUCUCGGGACUGGUCGUAAUCGUCUCUCUAUGUCUCGUCACCAUCUCGCAGUCCGUCCCGCGCCUUCGUUAAGCUCGUCGUUGCCGGCGGCAGAAGCAGCAGGUUCCAAGGCUUCCUCCUCGCUGUCAGCAACUCUCGCCGUCAGCUUCCCUCACACAACCAGAAGCUGGUCCCAAUUUGGAUCGAGCUAAUGAGAUAUACAAGCGGGUUAAAGAUCAGAAGUCUAGUAGAUGAAGAAAUCAAGAUGCAUUAUUGGUAUGAAUAAUCAAGCUGUCAAAGCUGCCAAGCCUUUGAAGAACCUUUUGCAGCCCUUGAAAUGUAGAGCAGAAGAGAGCAUUACAUCUUAGAUGCCAUGGGAGCAUUCUGUUUUGGCCGUAUUAUUUUCAUUUUGGUUCACCCUCCCUAUUUGAUGAUUAAUUCUUGGGGAAGGAGGGGCCAUUGAUAUAAAAAGUUGCUCGACCUUGUAAGAGUUCAAGAGGGCAUAAGAAAUAAUGUAUAAAUCAUUUUCAGCCCUACAAGCAAGUUUUUAUCUCUCACCAACAAAUUAAUGUUGUGCAUAAAACAGUAAUUGGGGCAAGAGAGAACUGUGUCUAGGCUCCUUAAUAAGUGAAUAUAGUACUUUCUUGAUUUAGUUCAUUA